rnacentral:rRNA from 1 species
UACGUAGGGUGCAAGCGUUGUCCGGAAUUAUUGGGCGUAAAGAGCUCGUAGGCGGUUUGUCGCGUCUAUCGUGAAAACUGGAGGCUUAACUUUCAGCGUGCGGUGGAUACGGGCAGACUUGAGUUCGGUAGGGGAGACUGGAAUUCCUGGUGUAGCGGUGAAAUGCGCAGAUAUCAGGAGGAACACCGGUGGCGAAGGCGGGUCUCUGGGCCGAUACUGACGCUGAGGAGCGAAAGCGUGGGGAGCGAACAGG